AUCUGGCUUUCUAAAUACCGUUACAAAGACAUGGCUGCCACUGGUGCCGUCCCCAGAGUCAUCACACUUUUCGCUCUCUCCCAAAAACCCAUGAAAAUCCCGCAAUUCUCCAUCCAAACUCUUUCUCUUUCUACUUCUAAACCCAUCUUCACUUCCCUUACUAAUUUCUCUUUGUCCUGUCCUAGAUUUAAAUCAUACAAUGUCAGCCCCUUCAGCACAUAUUAUCGCCUCUCCUGCAACAGCAUCUCCGCGUUCACCACCAACUCCAAUUACGAGUUUUUUGAUGGAUCUUCAGAGGUGGAAUUGAGUUUACCGCUUGGAAGCCAAGAUUUUCAGAGUUCCAGAGAUAUAUUUGUGGAUGCAGAUGGUACCUCCUUAAUUGUCAGAAUACAACGCUCGGGGUCUCUCGCCACACUUAUAGAAACCAAUCAUCUGUUUGAGAAAGUAAAGCCCGCUGAAACAAUCUGGUUUAUAGAUGAUGAUCAGCUUGUUAUCAACUUGAAGAAGCAGGACCCUGAUUUGAAAUGGCCUGACAUUGUGGAGUCAUGGGAAUCCUUGACUGCAGGAGCUAUGCAGCUUCUCAAAGGGACAUCAAUCUACAUUGUUGGCAGCUCAACUGAAAUUAACCAAAAAGUGGCUCGAGAACUUGCAGUUGGUCUUGGGUAUACACCUCUUGAUACACAGGAGUUGCUAGAAACAUUUUUGAAGCAAAAGAUUGAUUCGUGGGUUCUUGCUGUAGGUUCUGACUGUCUAGCUGAGGCAGAAGGUGCUAUAUUAGAAAGCCUGAGUAGUCAUGUUCGUGCUGUUGUUUCAACAUUAGGAGGGAAGCAUGGAGCUGCUAAAAAGGCUGAUAAAUGGCGACAUCUUUAUGCGGGAUUUACUGUCUUGCUAUCACAAACUGAAGCCGUGGAUGAAGAUUUGGCAAAGGAGGAGACCAGAAGGUAUAUUCAAGAUGGUAGCCUAGCUUACAUGAAUGCAGAUGUGAUUGUUAAGGUCCAGGGUUGGGAUGCUGAAUAUGUGAAAAGUGUUGCUCAGGCAUCCCUGAGUGCCCUCAAACAGUUGAUUCUGUCAGACAAGAAGCUUCCAGGUAUUUUUUUUUUUCAUCUCAUCAGGAAAGUUUUAGUUGCUGCUUGUGUUGUUGAAAAAUAUUAAACUUAUUUUAUUAUGAUCUUAAGAAAAAUAUCAUUAAAAAUGCGGUCAAAGUGAUAACAAAAUUUGAACAAUCUCUGGCCAACAUACUCCAAGUUAGUGUUCCAUGGAAGAAAAAAAAUGAAAUCCACGAUAUCAAAUAAUCAUGAAACUGAAAAUGUGGUUAAAUUUGAGAGAAAUCUUUUAAUACAGCUUGACACCAGUUUUGCCAUCUCUUUCCUUAUCUGAAAUACUCGUAAAAUGAUUGAAAUACUGCAAACAAAAUCAAUCACUACUUCCCUUAUAGUUGCUUCUGAAAAUUGCUAAUAUCAUCAAUAAUUAUUAAGUCUGGCAAUUUCAUAAAAAAAAAAAAAAAAAAGAAAUCCAGUCAUUUGAAUCCCUAUAAUUACUUACAGAUCCUUUUUACUAGCGGUGGAUUUCUUAUCAUCUGGAACACAUGACGACCAGUAAAUUGGCAAAAGUGUGCACACUGCCUGUAUUAGAAGGGCACGGGGAAACCCGGAAAAAUCAUCUCCUGUGACCCCAACAUAAGAUGCAAGUGCAACACCAAAGUAUCCACUCACUAUCAAUGCAAGUGCUAUUGCAGAUGCCACAAGUGCCAUCAGUGAUCCCUCGCACCCCGGUGGGCAGAGCUGUGCUAUUAAAACAUUAAAAGGCAGAAUCUUAAAAAAGAACAUGACCUCUAAGAGGCCUGAGAAAACAAUGACAUAGAAUGUGUCUGGCACCCCCAUAUUCCGAUAAAAUCCCUUCACAAACAAAACAUCAGAAACCAUGAACACUGCCAUCGUUGCCUGAAUGGCCGCAAUUAGUUUUCUUGCUGGAACUGUUUUCAAGUGAUGAUUGUAGAUGAUGCUCCACAGAAGCAAUGCCGCCUGGCCAAAAACCUUAGAGAUCCCUAGUAGUGAUGAAUCAAUCUUCAAAUAUUGUGUUUGAUAAAAGAACAUUGUUCCUGUCAGUGCUGGAAUCACAGCAUAAGAUGCAGCAAACCAUGCUAUUGAGUAAGCAACCUCAGGUUUUUUUAAUGCAACAGAGAGCUGCGAAAGCUGUUUCAUAAUCCCAGCAUUUGUUGAACUCUUGGGGAGGCUAAGAGAGCUUUCACGGACAGUAAUGGUUAUGAAAAAUUGGAGAGAAAGAAUUAGUCCAAAAAAGAGAAACAUAACUUGGGGGGAGUAUCUGGUAAUGGCUAUUCCACCCAGAAGGUUUCCAAGGACACCACCAGUAGAGGAAGCAACCCAAACAAAUGACUGGAGUUCACCAGAGGAAGAUGAUUGAGAUUUUUUAGAGGAGGUAGUGGGCUGUUUUCCUAUCUCUGCAACAAUGGCAUCAUUUGCAACCUCAGCUAUUGAAGCACCAAGAUUACUAAGGAGAAGGAAUAUGCUGAUACAGAAAAUUGAGAGGGUUGAGGGUGGGAGGAUUGCAAUAGCUAGCCAUGAAACUGCUUGUAAGAAAGCUCCAAAGACGAUGUAAGGGAUACGAUGCUGGCCGGAGAAGUAAACGGCAUCAGAUACGACACCGUAGAGAGGCUUACCAACCAUGGGCAGAUUAGCGGAGUUCUGGAGGAGCUGAAGAGUGGAGGGGUCCACAUUGAGGCCAUCUUUCAAGAAAAAGUUGACAGCCAUCCAUGGAAAGCACCUGAAGCCCUGAACCCAGAAGCCGAGGCCGAGUAUUCCCCGGAUCGGGUUCGAAUCAGGAGCAGAAGCAGAAACCAUUUGAUGAAUGGAAGAUUGGACGAUGGUGAUGGUGAUGGUGAUGGCGAUGGCGAUGGAGAUAAUCGCGAAUCAAAGAAAACAGUGCUAGGUGCAGUGGGAGACAUGACAAGACUGGAGCAUCGGAUUAUUGUCUCAGGGAGUGGGUUCCACCAAAGAUGGAGCGAUGUACAACCGUCAGAUCUGCUAUAUCUACGAUCUGAAUUGAUCAUCAGCGGCAGCCGUAGAUUGUCGACGGCUUUCGGAUCUCGGCCAUCAGUAGGGAGGCAGCAACAGCAGCAGAAUGCGGAGGGAGAAGGGAACGAGCGGGUAGGAGAGAGCAUUGAUGAAGAAAGUGGCAGAAGCGUAAUAAAUUCGAGAAGCGUGUCGGAAAUCACAGGACUCAACAGGUUUUCGAGCAGAGAGAGUAACAACAGCCGUCACCAUCGAGAACGACAGGCGGGGGUUGUAUCGAGAUGGUUGGCUUGGAUUUCUUCUCGGUCACAAAAAGAUGUACGGGCCAACCGUACUCCCACUGACGUUGCGGCUUAGAUCUUAUCUUAGGUCUUUUAGCUAGUUUACCUUCUUCUCCUCCUCCUUAUAGCUCACAGUUACACGAUAGGAAGGCAAGGCAGCAGAAUUUCUCCCGCUGAUUAGCCAAUUAGAUUUUUGGAUUUUUUUUCUAUUUCUUUAAUCUUUUUAGUAUUUUAAAUAUUCUUAAAAAAAAAUUAGAAAAGGGAUUAUUUUUCCAGUGGAUCUUUUUAUAAAGGUAAGAAAAAGGAAACGUCAGAUUCAGAGAGAGAAAGAAUUGUAGAGUAGCCAUUUAUUAUAUUAUACAGAUAGAUACCCACAAAAAGCACAUGGAUGGGAGAGAAGGGAGGGAACAGCUGUUGCGCAGUUUUCCUUUUUUUUAAUUUUUAAAAAAAUUCUCAUUUUUCAAUUCCUUCAUUUAUUUUUUUGCCCCCUUCUUUGUUUUGUUCAUGUGCUCUCUAAUUCUAGAUCUUGCUCAUGUUAUUAAUCUGAUAGUAAGAAUGUCUUUUCAUGUAUUUCUAAUGUUGUCUUAGUGCUUGUCUGAGAUACAAAACACACUCCCACUCGUUAAGGGUAUUGGGUAAUAAGACAAAUAAACAUUUAUCAAUGUGAAUAAUUAUCAGAAUGAGCUCUGUCAUACUUGCAUUAACUCCAUUCCUAAUAAUAUAAGGGUAUUUGUCUGCAUCGAGAAAGCUUUCAACUGCAUAGGCAAUUAGAAGUCAUCAGAUAUUGAGUUUGAAUGAUUCAAAUUCCUUAUCAUUUGACUCUAAUGGUAGUUAUUUCACAUUGAAGACUAUAAUUUUCUUCUCCACACAUCAAAUUUCUGAUAUUGUGACUUUUUAUUAUAUUGAUGAUGUGCUCAUUGAAAUUUGCAGUUAGACUCUGAAGAUACCUAUU
rnacentral:misc_RNA from 1 species